GAUGAACGCUGGCGGCGUGCCUAAUACAUGCAAGUCGAGCGAACAGACGAGGAGCUUGCUCCUCUGACGUUAGCGGCGGACGGGUGAGUAACACGUGGAUAACCUACCUAUAAGACUGGGAUCACUUCGGGAAACCGGAGCUAAUACCGGAUAAUAUAUUGAACCGCAUGGUUCAAUAGUGAAAGACGGUUUUGCUGUCACUUAUAGAUGGAUCCGCGCCGCAUUAGCUAGUUGGUAAGGUAACGGCUUGCCAAGGCAACGAUGCGUAGCCGACCUGAGAGAGUGAUCGGCCACACUGGAGCUGAGACACGGUCCAGACUCCUACGGGAGGCAGCAGUAGGGAAUCUUCCGCAAUGGGCGAAAGCCUGACGGAGCAACGCCGCGUGAGUGAUGAAGGUCUUCGGAUCGUAAAACUCUGUUAUUAGGGAAGAACAAAUGUGUAAGUAACUAUGCACGUCUUGACGGUACCUAAUCAGAAAGCCACGGCUAACUACGUG
rnacentral:rRNA from 1 species